AAAACCAAAGGUGUAACCUGCCCAAUGAUCUUAAACUUAAAAAAUAUAACUAUUUUUAAAAAGAUUUAAAGGACGCAGUAUCCUGACUGUGAUAAUGUAGCAUAAUCAUUCGCCAUUUAAUUGAUGGAUAGUAUGAAUGGUUGAACGAAUUCUUCACUGUCUUAAAAAAAGAAAUAAUGAAAUUUAAAUAAUAGUAAAGAUGCUAUUUAAAAUUGUAAGACGAAAAGACCCUAUAGAGCUUAACUAUAAGUUCUUUUAGUUAAAAGAACAUAAUUCUUAAAAUAAAGAACUUGGUAGUUUAGUUGGGGCGACUAUCUUCUAAUAUUAACGAAGACAAGCAAAAUUAAUAUAUAAUUUAUUGUAUAACCUAUAAGUUUAACAAUUACAAAAGUAGGCAUAAUGACCCGUUUUCAUUUAGUAAUUAAAGAAAACGAUCAAUAAAUAAAAGCUACCUUAGGGAUAACAGGAUAAUUUUGUUUUAGAGAUCCUAUCGAAAACAAAGUUUGUCACCUCUAUGUUGAAUUAAGAUAUCCUAGUAAUGCAGAAGUUACUAAAGGUAGGUCUGUUCGACCUUUAAAAUCUUACAUGAU
rnacentral:rRNA from 1 species